GCGUUCAUAGCUCAGUUUGGUUAGAGCACCACCUUGACAUGGGUGGGGGUCGUUGGUUCGAGUCCCAAUUGAACGCACCA
rnacentral:tRNA from 1 species